CUUGCUUGCUCUCUUGUCUUCUCCUCAGAGGAUUUCUCUCAUCUUCUUCCUCUAUAUAAUGUUAAAUAUUGAUUCGUGACCUCUAUUAUUGCGAGGUUUUGAGAGUCACCUUUCGAUUUUCGUUAGCAAAACAAGUUGUUUCUAUGUUUGUCUCCAUAAUUGCCGCUACCCGGAAGUACGCACUGGGUAAACCCCCGGCCGAAUCUAAUACCCUGCAAACUAGGCCCGACGGGAAAGUCACACUAGGCGAACCAUGUGUGGCAGGUGACCUGAUGCGUCGGGGACUUGUCCACUGUUAAUUGAGGGAACAAGGUGUUUACAUUGAAAUGGGAGUUGUAAGCCGAAGGACACCAAUCCACUACAUUCGAAUGCAAGUAAACAAAAGUCGAUUGCCCAUGCCGGUGCAAGUUCCAGUGCCCACGCGAAUGCUGGAGUGAGUUCAAGUUCCCAACCACAUAUGCCGCACUCAGAGAAGCAAUUUGGCUGGUGGUCUUCAUUUAAUCCAGAUCCGAAGCAGAAAGCGACUCAAAAGGUUCUCGGAAAACGCUGAUUGAUCGGAAAUCACUGUUUGUUUGAGAAAUUACACGAUGAGUACAGAUCUGUCACUCUCUUCUGGAAACACAACUAAUUCAUCCUUGGAAAUCUCUUCCCAUGAUCAACCUAGCAUGAGUCUUGUUCGUCUUCAACUCACGGAGACAAAUUAGUUAAUAUGGAGCACAGUGGUCUUAAGAGCUCUCUUAGCAAAAGGAAGAAAGGGAUUCGUGACUGGGGAAACUAAGCGACCUGAAACUCAAUAGCUGCCCUAGAAUGGGAAAGAAAUGAUGAUAUGGUACUUGGCUAGUUGUUGAAUUCGAUCUCUCCACAAAUUAUAGUUGCGUUCAGUCUCAUCAAGACAAGUCAUGAAUUAUGGGAGAAACUCAAACUACGCUAUGGUCAACACAACGGCCCUCUCAUCUACCAAAAGAGGAGAGAAAUCAGUAGGCUCUAUCCAGGUAAUCUCUCAAUGGCUGCAUACUUCAAUAAAAUGCAGAAUUUGAAAGAUGAGCUGUCUUGUUUGGCACCCGUGCCAUUUGAUAGAAAUGAAGUUGAUCUGUAUCUUCACAACCUAGAUGCAAUUGAUUAUUUGAUGUGGUUAA